UACGGAGGGUGCAAGCGUUGUUCGGAAUUACUGGGCUUAAAGCGCGCGUAGGCGGCUUUGCAAGUCGGGUGUGAAAUCCCCAGGCUUAACCUGGGAACUGCAUUCGAGACUGCAUUGCUAGAGUAUGGGAGAGGGAAGUGGAAUUUCCGGUGUAGCGGUGAAAUGCGUAGAUAUCGGAAGGAACAUCAGUGGCGAAAGCGACUUCCUGGACCAAUACUGACGCUCAUGUGCGAAAGCGUGGGGAGCAAACAGG
rnacentral:rRNA from 1 species